GGGUUCAGCUCAGCAGCACACACACUAAGACUGAAACGAUGCAGAGAUUAGCAUGGCCCUGAGCAAGGACGACACGCAGAUUCAUGAAGUGGUCCUCAUUUUU